UGUGGCAGAAUAGUGCAAUAAAUUUAAGAUUUAUUUAUAAAGUCAUAUUUCUUUAGAAA
rnacentral:tRNA from 1 species